UACGUAGGGUGCGAGCGUUACUCGGAAUUACUGGGCGUAAAGCGUGCGCAGGCGGUUUUGUAAGCCAGAUGUGAAAUCCCCGAGCUUAACUUGGGAACUGCAUUUGGGACUGCAAGGCUAGAGUACGGCAGAGGGGGGUAGAAUUCCUGGUGUAGCAGUGAAAUGCGUAGAUAUCAGGAGGAAUACCGAUGGCGAAGGCAGCCCCCUGGGUCGAUACUGACGCUCAUGCACGAAAGCGUGGGGAGCAACCAGG
rnacentral:rRNA from 1 species